rnacentral:rRNA from 1 species
GACGAACGCUGGCGGCGUGCCUAACACAUGCAAGUCGAGCGGGGUUGAAGCGAGGGGUAACUCGGACUUCUACCUAGCGGCGGACGGGUGAGUAACGCGUGGGCAACCUGCCUCAAGGUUUGGGAUAACAGCUCGAAAGGGCUGCUAAUACCGGAUAUGCCUGUGGCCUCGCAUGGGGCUAUGAGCAAAGGGGAAACCCGCCUUGAGAUGGGCCCGCGUCCCAUCAGCUAGUUGGUGAGGUGAAGGCUCACCAAGGCGACGACGGGUAGCCGGCCUGAGAGGGUGACCGGCCACACUGGGACUGAGACACGGCCCAGACUCCUACGGGGGGCAGCAGUGGGGGAUCUUGCACAAUGGGCGAAAGCCUGAUGCAGCGACGCCGCGUGAGCGAAGAAGGCCUCGGUUGUAAGACUCUGUCUGGAGGGACGAAACGAAAUAGACGGUACCUCCGGACGGAAGCCACGGCGUAACUACGUGCCAGCAGCCGCGGUAAGUCUAGUCUACG